ensembl:lncRNA
UUUAAAACUAAGUUUCUAACUUACAGGUGUGUUGCUUUGAUCCUCCAGGAAACAUGAUAACCUCAAAUCACUGAAGAGAAGAAAAUACCUGGAGGGUUUACUACUGGAUCAAGAUUUUCAGGCCAAAUCCUCACCCGAAGCCUGAUCUCCAAAGACAGGAUCAUCUCUAAGAUGAAGAUUCAGGACCAGAUAACAGUUGACACAGCUGCUGUUGAAAGCACUUCAUUAACGGUGACUUCGGAAUACAUUUUAGGAAUAGCUGGCUCCACCCAAAGCCCCCAUUGAAAUCCCAUGCAAUUGUUGAAGUGACAGUCCCCACUUGGUUGGAUAGAAAGAUUUGGAUCUUAGCCACCAGUCUUCUCAGCAUCCUUUGAUACCUGAC